GGAGAGGUGGCCGAGAGGCUGAAGGCACCGGUUUGCUAAACCGGCAUAGUGGGAAACCGCUAUCGAGGGUUCGAAUCCCUCUCUCUCCGCC
rnacentral:tRNA from 1 species